AGGAGAAUGGCAUGAACCCGGGAGGCGGAGCUUGCAGUGAGCCGAGAUCGCGCCACUGCACUCCAGGCUGGGCGACAGAGCGAGACUCUGUCUCAAAAAAAAAAAAAAGAAAAAAGAAAGUGCAUUCAGAAUUGGGGAGGGGAGAGAUCAAUGUGUGUUAGAGCCAAGGAAACAUUUAGUAAAGAUGGAAUUUAGCCCUUAAGGACUGUCAGGCCAGAGCAAUAGGAAGUACAAACAUUUCAUAUGUAGAGAAUAACACGAACAAGGCACAAGAGCAGAAAUAUGAGUAACAGCCUCAGUGGGUCCUAUUCGUUAUGCACCUAUCAUGUCCCUUGCACUAUGCCGGGCCCUUUGCACUCAUUAUAUACGAUGCUCACAGCAAUCCUGAGAUUGUGAGGCGGGUAUUUUACAAAUACAAGAAGUCAGUUUUAGAGAAGUACUAAAUGGCAGACUCAGGAUUCAUGUCUGCACUUCAUUCACUGCGUAGGAAGGUGAGGGUGGUUAAGGAGGUGCCACUCUGGGAGCAGAAGGCAGUCACUGGAGCAGAUCAGUGGAGCUACGUUACGGAGAUCCGGGAUGGUCCGUGAGGAUGCUGGGCCUCACCUGCCUCUUCCUCCUGCUUGCCACCUCUCAGUCACAAGACGGCUGCUGCGACUCAGGCUCAUGUCCCAAUUCAAGGCAGCAAGAAGGCCAUGGAGCGGCACCUGCCAGCUCCUGUCUCCCCAUCCCCUAGAAUCGUUGACAAAAUGAGUGACACUGCCCUGGGAUCUGGGUCUCUGGUUGAGGCCUUGGAGCUACUGCCUCUGCCUGUGAACUCACCCAUCAUCGCUAACAGGUUGCUCCACAGCCUACAGAUCUCAAUAUUUCGCUAGCACAAAACCCAAGCGGCCAGGCACGGUGGCUCACGCCUGUAAUCCCAGCACUUUGGGAGGCCGAGGCGGGUGGAUCACUUGAGGUCAGGAGUUCGAGACCAGCCUGACCAACAUGGAGAAACCCCGUCUCUACUAAAAAUACAAAAUUAGCCGGGCGUGGUGACACGUGCCCGUAAUCCCAGCUACUUGGGAGGCUGAGGCAGGAGAAUUGCUUGAACACCGGGGGUGGAGGUUGUGGUGAGCCGAGAUUGCACCACUGCACUCCAGUCUGGGAGACAGAGAGAGACCCCAUCUCAAAAGAAAAAAAAAAAAAAAGACCAAGGGACUUCCGGGAACUAAAACAUCUCAGCCCUUUCAUCGCCAGUGUCUUCAUCUUACAAGCAGAAAAGGAAAAAAAGCAGUGGGAAGCAGUAAGAAGCUACCGCUGACUCACUAUGAAUUACUGCUGACUUUGAAUUAUUUAGCAGCUGUGGAAAAGCCAUCUUUUGUUUAAAAAAAAAAUAGGGUUUUCUGAAAUGCUUUUUAUUUUUUUAUUUGUAUAAAUACCUGCCCAGAACAGUCAAGUCAACUGACAUCUGCUAAAUGACUGAGACACUGUGGAAUUUGUAUACUGGCAUGGUGUGCAGUUUCGUGCAAGUAUAACCACAGAGACAGACAAAUCUCUAUCAUUGCCACAGACUGCUUAUAGCAAAAUUCCAGAGCUCCUGUCAUUGGUCUUUAAUAGUUGUGCUUUGUUGCUUUUGUUACCACGUGUGCAUUUGUGUCAACAUUAUACAAAGCACUCUUUCUCACAAGAGCUAGUUUCACUCUACAACCAUACUGUAAGACAGGUAUUGUUUUAAGAUCAAGAAACCAAGGCUCUGAGAGGUUUAGUGACUCACCUAAGAUCAUGAACUAAUAAUAAGUGACGGAUCAGGGACUUGACCUGGGACAUUGAUGCCAAUUCCAGGGCACCUUCCACCGUGUCAUAUGGCACUUGCUCUACAUAUGUGCCAGGCAGCACCCGCAUGGCUUUUCCUCAUGAAACAACGUGGACCCAGGCCUACACAGCAGUUGUGAGAAAGUGCCUCCAGCUGGGAGCGCAUCUGGCCCAGGGCACCAGCUGCCACUCCAUGCUCUGAAUCCAUCCUGGCCUGUGCUGAGACCCCCCCUUUCCAUGGGCUGCUCCCCACCCGUGAUGGGGCAUGGCAGGGGCACUAGGCAGCCCCCUUCCUGAGAGACAUGGGGCUCCUCUGCCUAGAAUGUUGUCUCAGCACUUCUCUUCUGCCUUGCUGAACUUUCCCUAGAGCCAAGGAGGCCUCCAUACAACCUUUCCUCUCCUUCAUUUGGAGUCAGACUUGCACUGCAGUCUAAUGGUCAUCCCACUUUUUUCCAGCUCCCUGAUAAAAUCUAUGGCUUCUGCUUCUUGGAGGACCCAGAUUAUCACAGCUUAUCUCAUUCCUUUGCAGCAGAUGCCCCUGCAGGCCAUCUCUCCAGGCUCAGGAACCUAAAGAAGAAUCUACCCAGAUGUGGUGGCUCACACCUGUGAUCCCACCACUUUGGGAGGCUGAGGCAAGAGGAUCACUUGAGCCCAGGAGUUGGAGACCAACGUAGGCAAUACAGCAAGACUCCCAUCUCUACAAAAAAAAAAAAGAAAGAAAGAAAGAAAGAAAAGAAAUUAGCUGGCUGUGGUGCUGCACAUUUGUAAUACCAGCUACUCUAGAGGCUGAGGCUGGAGGAUCACUUGAGCCGAGGAGUGAGCUAUGACCACACCAUUGCAUUUCAGCCUCAGUGACAGAGCAAGGCCCUGCCUCAAAAAAAAAAAAAAAAAAAGAAAAGAAUAAGAUAAAAUAAAUAAUACAGGAGAACCUAGUGCUCAGGUUCUCUAGUGAAGAGGAAGGCAAAAGAUAGAAAGGUCAGACAAACUUAAACAUGCAUUCCAAGAUCGGCCUGGGUCCGCCCGUAGACAUGAAGGAAUCUUCUGGUGGAAAGUUAGGCAGGGAAACGGACACUGCUAUGAGCAUGUCUUCCUGGGCAGCUUGCGAUGGUCAGGAGGAGGUGGUUGUUCCUCAGCAGCGGUGCUUCCGAUGAAGCCCCAUGUUGUAGUGGAAGACAAGCCAUUCCUGUCUGACCUUCUGUGCCGCGCCUAGGCUUCCAAAAGCUGCUAUCGCCAAGAUCCAUUUCCGUUCACCUUUAAACUGCUUGUUAUGGGGAGGAGUCAGCCAGCCAUGAUGCAUACUUGUUACAGAAAGAAACGCCCACGUUGAGCUCUCCUGAUAAGAAGAGAGAGCAUUCGUCAUUGUCUGUAUCUGUCAUCUGAAGAAGGAACCAAUGUCAAAAAUCCCACACAUUCUCCUCCCGCAAGUCACAGAGUAAGCCUCCCAUUCUUGAGCUCGUUCAUUCACCAAACACAUUCUGAUCUCUCCUGUGCCCAGGCGGUGGGAUUCAGAGAAGAAGUGCUGCCUAGUAGUCAGCACCCAGUGCCAGGAAAACAGGACAAGGGGAGUUGUCGGGGGAGACACCAGGAUUGAAGUUGCUUUUACUAAAAAACAUUUUUUUUAUCUUGUUAACAAAUAUAUUUACCAUGGUACAUGGUGGCAAUGCUCUCAGUUUUAAAACACAGCAAUUAUCUUCCAGUGGUCACUAAUUAAUCCAGGUGUGGCUAGGAACAGCUGGAUACUGAUCUGUGUGAUGAUGGCACCUCUAUCAUCAGGCUGCCAUUGCUGGCACUUUGGGCAAGGUGGACUGGGGUUCUGCUCUGGGGCUGUGUGCCCAAGGUUUACACCUCACUAUUUUACAGCACACUGGAGCUCCCAACAGUCCCCGAAGGUCUGGAGAUCACCAAUGGGCAGGAGAGAAGGGAGGGGUUUAGACAUCAGGGAGCCAAGUUCUACAGCAUCUUCUAGAUCCAGGCUAUCGAGCACUUGAAAUGCGGCUAAGUCUGAAUUGAGAUGUGCUGUGUGUAAGAGACACAACAGAUUUUGAAGACAGUAUGAGAAAAAGAACAUAAAAUAUCUCAGUAAUUUUAUAUUGAUUACAUGUUGAAAUGAUACUAAUUUUUGAUAUACUGGGUUAAAUAAAAUAGAUUAUUAAAAUUAACUUCAUCUCUUUCUUUUGACCUUUUCAACAUGGCCAUUAGAAAAUUCAGCUUACGUAGUAGGCUCACUUUCUACUGCACAGCCCUGGAUGUCAAACUCAAUGAGAGCGGUGUCUGUACCUGUAUCUGCUCAUCCAGUCCAUAAAAGUCAGCACAGUACCUAGCACUGAAAGUACUCCAUAAAUAUUUGAGGGAUGGACAAAAGUACAAGUGAACAAAUAGCAUCUGCUCCUCAUUUCUGGUAAGUCAAGGAGCAGUUCUACCCUCUCCUUAUCUUAAACUAAUGCCUGAGAAGGAGGUGGGAGAUUUACAAAAAUCCAUCUCCCAAAUUUGAAUCUUCAGCCCUGAACUCCCCUGAGAUGUAUAUCUGACUGCCUACUUGCAAACUCCACUUAGAUGAGUAAUAGACAUCUCAAACUUCACAUCUCCAAAGCAGAAUUUUUUAUUUUCCCCGCAAACUGGCUCCUACCUAAGUCUUUUUCAUCUUAAUAGAUGGCGCCAUGAUCCAUCUGUUUUUUUUCAGGGCAAAUACCUAGAAGUCAUUCUUGAGUCCUCUAGUUUCCUACUCUUCUUCCCCCAUGAUCACCACCACCCAAUCCCAUCCAUUCAAGAAACAGUCCUAUUGCUCAUGCCUGUAAUCCCAGCACUUUGGGAGGCCGAGGCAGGUGGAUCGCUUGAGAUCAGGAGUUCGAGACCAGCCUGGUCAACAUGGUGAAACCCUGUCUCUACUAAAAUACAAAAAAAUGAGCUGGGCAUGGUGGCAUGUGCCUGAAAUCCCAGCUACUCGGGAGGCUGAGGCACGAGAAUCACUUGAACCCAGGAGGCGGAGGUUGCAGUGAGCCGAGAUCAUGCUACUGCACUCCAGCCUGGGUGACAGAG
rnacentral:lncRNA from 1 species